ACCUGUGUGGUGUACUGGUGUGCACUUCUCUCCGACGAUCUCGAGGUCGAGGGUUCGAAUCCUUCCUCAGGUU
rnacentral:tRNA from 1 species